ACCGGCGCACGGGUGCGUAACGCGUAUGCAAUCUACCUUGUACAGGGGAAUAGCCCAGAGAAAUUUGGAUUAAUGCCCCAUAGUAUAUAACCUUCGCAUGUUGGUUAUAUUAAAGUUCCAACGGUACAAGAUGAGCAUGCGUCCCAUUAGUUAGUUGGUAAGGUAACGGCUUACCAAGACGAUGAUGGGUAGGGGUCCUGAGAGGGAGAUCCCCCACACUGGUACUGAGACACGGACCAGACUCCUACGGGAGGCAGCAGUGAGGAAUAUUGGUCAAUGGUCGCAAGACUGAACCAGCCAUGCCGCGUGCAGGAAGACGGUCCUAUGGAUUGUAAACUGCUUUUAUACAGGAAGAAACCCUCCCACGUGUGGGAGCUUGACGGUACUGUAGGAAUAAGGAUCGGCUAACUCCGUGCCAGCAGCCGCGGUAAUACGGAGGAUCCAAGCGUUAUCCGGAAUCAUUGGGUUUAAAGGGUCCGUAGGCGGUCUUAUAAGUCAGUGGUGAAAGCCCAUCGCUCAACGAUGGAACUGCCAUUGAUACUGUAAGACUUGAAUGCUUAGGAAGUAACUAGAAUAUGUAGUGUAGCGGUGAAAUGCUUAGAUAUUACAUGGAAUACCAAUUGCGAGGGCAGGUUACUACUAAGUGAUUGACGCUGAUGGACGAAAGCGUGGGGAGCGAACAGGAUUAGAUACCCUGGUA
rnacentral:rRNA from 1 species